CCAGGCGGUUACAGGGUUGUGUUUCCAUUGGGAAUUCAGGCAUGUCAGAGAGUGUAGCGCUUUAAAAUACAUGGUUUAUUUUACACCUAGAUACUGCACACCUGGGUGGAGGAAGAUAGUUCACAGCAUUACAUCUCAAGAGGGGCUUCUUCCCCACAGCAGUGCAGCUUUGCAGUCCAAGGCAUCCUGCACACCAUUCUCGUUCUUCUGUCCCAGCCUGCCAAGAUGGUUCUGGUAAACAGACCACCUGGUCCAUCCUAUGCAGUGGAGGCUGCCCGACCAGCACCAAUCUAUCACUAGGGAUGGAGGAGAAACAUGAUUCAGUUUGCACUUGAAGACAAUUUCUUCCUGCCACCAAUAUAUUCUCACAGAAUCAGAGAGCUAGGUCAUCUGUUCUGUUGCUGCCACCACUCCACUUGAUGCAGGAAACCCAGAGCUACAGCAUUUCCAAUAAAUGGCUGCCCAGCCUCUGCUUGAAGACCUCCAGUGAGGGAGAGCCCAUCACCC